UUUCCAUGAGAGUGGCGCACGGGUGCGUAACACGUAUGUAACCUACCUUGUUCAGGGGGAUAGCCUCUCGAAAGAGAGAUUAAGACCGCAUAACAUUGCAAUGUGGCAUCACAAAGCAAUCAAAUAUUUAUAGGAACAAGAUGGGCAUGCGGAACAUUAGCUAGUUGGUAAGGUAACGGCUUACCAAGGCUACGAUGUUUAGGGGAUCUGAGAGGAUGACCCCCCACACUGGUACUGAGACACGGACCAGACUCCUACGGGAGGCAGCAGUAAGGAAUAUUGGUCAAUGGGCGCAAGCCUGAACCAGCCAUGCCGCGUGCAGGAAGACGGCCCUACGGGUUGUAAACUGCUUUUAUACGGGAAUAAACCUUGAUACGUGUAUCAAGCUGAAUGUACUGUAAGAAUAAGGAUCGGCUAACUCCGUGCCAGCAGCCGCGGUAAUACGGAGGAUCCAAGCGUUAUCCGGAUUUAUUGGGUUUAAAGGGUGCGUAGGUGGUUCUUUAAGUCAGGGGUGA
rnacentral:rRNA from 1 species